rnacentral:rRNA from 1 species
GACGUAGGGCGCGAGCGUUGUCCGGAUUUAUUGGGCGUAAAGAGCUCGUAGGCGGCUUGUCGCGUCGACUGUGAAAUCCCGAGGCUCAACUUCGGGCUUGCAGUCGAUACGGGCAGGCUAGAGUUCGGUAGGGGAGACUGGAAUUCCUGGUGUAGCGGUGAAAUGCGCAGAUAUCAGGAGGAACACCGGUGGCGAAGGCGGGUCUCUGGGCCGUAACUGACGCUGAGGAGCGAAAGCGUGGGGAGCGAACAGG